rnacentral:rRNA from 1 species
CCUACGGGAGGCAGCAGUGGGGAAUAUUGCACAAUGGGGGAAACCCUGAUGCAGCGACGCCGCGUGAAGGAAGAAGUAUUUCGGUAUGUACACUUCUAUCAGCAGGGAAGAAAAUGACGGUACCUGACUAAGAAUCCCCGGCUAACUACGUACCAGCAGCCGCGGUAAUACGUAGGGGGCAAGCGUUAUACGUAUUUACUGGGUGUAACGGGAGCGUAGGCGGUGCAGAAAGUCAGAAGUGAAAGCCCGGGGCUCAACUUCGGGACUGCUUUUGAAACUGUUGAACUAGAUUGCAGGAUAGGUAAGUGGAAGUCCUAGUGUAGCGGUGAAAUGCGUAGAUAUUAGGAGGAACACCAGUGGAGAAGGCGGCUUACUGGACUGUAAAUGACGCUGAGGCUCGAAAGCGUGGGGAGCAAACAGGAUUAGAUACCCUGGUAGUC